CCUAACACAUCCAAGUCGAGCGGGUAGCACAAAAGACCUUUGCUCUCCGGGGUGCACCAUCGGCGGAACGGGGUGAGUAAUGUCCUGGGGAAACUGCCCUGCAAUGGAGGGGGGAUAACUACUGGAAACGGUAGCUAAUACCGCAUAAGUCGCCAAGACCAAAGUGGGGGACCUUCGGGCCUCAUGCCAUCAGAUGUGCCCAGAUGGGAUUAGCUAGUAGGUGGGGUAACGGCUCACCUAGGCGACGAUCCCUAGCUGGUCUGAGAGGAUGACCAGCCACACUGGAACUGAGACACGGUCCAGACUCCUACGGGAGGCAGCAGUGGGGAAUAUUGCACAAUGGGCGCAAGCCUGAUGCAGCCAUGCCGCGUGUGUGAAGAAGGCCUUCGGGUUGUAAAGCACUUUCAGCGGGGAGGAAGGCGNUAAGGUUAAUAACCUUGUCGAUUGACGUUACCCGCAGAAGAAGCACCGGCUAACUCCGUGCCAGCAGCCGCGGUAAUACGGAGGGUGCAAGCGUUAAUCGGAAUUACUGGGCGUAAAGCGCACGCAGGCGGUCUGUCAAGUCGGAUGUGAAAUCCCCCGGGCUCAACCUGGGAACUGCAUUCCAAAACUGGCAGGCUAGAGUCUUUGUAGAGGGGGGUAGAAUUCCAGGUGUAGCGGUGAAAAUGCGUAGAAAUUCUGGAGGAAUACCGGGGCGAAGGCGGCCCCCUGGACCAAAGACUGACCGUCAGGGCGAAAGCGCUGGGGGAGCAAACAGGAUUAGAUACCCUGGUAGUCCCCGUAACGAUAGUCGAUUUGGAGGUUGUGCCCUUGAGGCGUGGCUUCCGGAGCUAACGCGUUAAAUCCACCGCCUGGGGAGUACGGCCGCAAGGUUAAAACUCAAAUGAAUUGACGGGGGCCCGCACAAGCGGUGGAGCAUGUGGUUUAAUUCGAUGCAACGCGAAGAACCUUACCUGGUCUUGACAUCCACAGAACUUUCCAGAGAUGGAUUGGUGCCUUCGGGAACUGUGAGACAGGUGCUGCAUGGCUGUCGUCAGCUCGUGUUGUGAAAUGUUGGGUUAAGUCCCGCAACGAGCGCAACCCUUAUCCUUUGUUGCCAGCGGUUCGGCCGGGAACUCAAAGGAGACUGCCAGUGAUAAACUGGAGGAAGGUGGGGAUGACGUCAAGUCAUCAUGGCCCUUACGACCAGGGCUACACACGUGCUACAAUGGCAUAUACAAAGAGAAGCGACCUCGCGAGAGCAAGCGGACCUCAUAAAGUAUGUCGUAGUCCGGAUUGGAGUCUGCAACUCGACUCCAUGAAGUCGGAAUCGCUAGUAAUCGUAGAUCAGAAUGCUACGGUGAAUACGUUACCCGGGCCUUGUACACACCGCCCGUCACACCAUGGGAAGUGGGGUGCAAAAGAAGUAGGUAGCUUAACCUUCGGGAGGGCGCUUACCACUUUUGAGAUUGUCCCCAUGACUGGGGGUGAAGUCUAACAAGGUAACCGUAG
rnacentral:rRNA from 1 species